CGCCGGCCCUGGUGGCGCCCGGCUUCGCGGGGUUUCGCUAACGCCUGCAGCCGCCGCGUCCCCUCCCUGGGAAUAGUGUUAUUCGACCUCCUUCUGCCAGGAGGACUCUCCCUGAAUCACUCCACCAGCACUUUGAAUAAAUAAUGCCACUCCCUUCAGGCCUACAGACUUCCUGUUGAAAAUCAGCUGAUUGCUGAUAGCAAUAUGAAUGGCAGUCUGCUGGAUAACCACCUUGCGUAUUUCUACCACCUGAAGAUCUCCAUGUGGAAAGUUCCAAGGUUAAUUUUCCUGAAGAACCUGUCCAGUGCUUUCAAGUUCAAUCGUGUCACUCCAGGGAAUGUGACAGCUGUGCAGAAAAACAGCCUUUGCUCAUGUUUCUGGCUCCAGUUAUAGCAACACAAGGCAGCACAGGGCAGCGAAAAUAGCAUGGUCGGAGGAAGGCGGACCCUGACCCUGAUUCCACGACUUAUCACCUGUCACCUUGGAAAAGGUACUUAAGCCCUGCCCCUCACUUUUCUCAGUUGUAAAAGAUGAAGAUAUUAUCUUUCAUGUUAAGGGAACUGUGAGGACUAAAUGAGAUAGUGAAUGGAAAUCAUACAGAUGUUUGAUGACUAGUAAGUACAAUUUGGCAGUUCCUGGGCUUGUAAGACAGCUGUUAGAAAAAAUAUUUCCUGCCCUCCAGGAGCUUAAGGGUAAGUGGGGAAACAUUUGGAAGGGAAGUGUGUUAGAAGAAAGGGCAUUAAUACA